UCCUACGGGAGGCAGCAGUGGGGAAUAUUGCACAAUGGGCGAAAGCCUGAUGCAGCAACGCCGCGUGAGCGAUGAAGGCCUUCGGGUCGUAAAGCUCUGUCCUUAAGGAAGAUAAUGACGGUACUUGAGGAGGAAGCCCCGGCUAACUACGUGCCAGCAGCCGCGGUAAUACGUAGGGGGCUAGCGUUAUCCGGAAUUACUGGGCGUAAAGGGUGCGUAGGCGGUCUUUCAAGUCAGGAGUGAAAGGCUACGGCUCAACCGUAGUAAGCUCUUGAAACUGUAAGACUUGAGUGCAGGAGAGGAGAGUAGAAUUCCUAGUGUAGCGGUGAAAUGCGUAGAUAUUAGGAGGAAUACCAGUUGCGAAGGCGGCUCUCUGGACUGUAACUGACGCUGAGGCACGAAAGCGUGGGGAGCAAACAGGAUUAGAUACCCUGGUAGUCC
rnacentral:rRNA from 1 species